GCCGCAGGUCAGGGCACAAGUCGUCCCACCGCUCUCCUAAAGCGGGUGUCGCAGGUUCGAAUCCUGCCGGGGGCA
rnacentral:tRNA from 1 species